CCCGCACGCAACUUUACGGCUCGAAUCACGCCAUCUUUUCCCGGAAAUAGCUCUUCGACGAUUCCGAGAGGCCAUUUUGCCCGAUUUUUCUCGUCGCAACGCACGAUGACAACGUCUCCAACACCGAGUUUCGCUGACUUCCCGUCUCGAUUGCAGUGAUGUCUUUCUCUCAACGCCUUGAGAUACUCCGAAGUCCAACGUUUCCACAAGGCGUCUUUACAAGAUUGUAAGUACUUCGCUCUUUUACGCAAAUCGCCUUUCUCUUCGCGCCACGUCGCCAACUCGGGAAUUCUAUUCGAUCUCUGGAAUAGGAAUGAGGCAG